rnacentral:lncRNA from 1 species
UCGCGCUCUCAAACAUGAUGCUAUUACUCGAUCCCUUACGUAAUGAAGGACGAUUUCUGUCACUAUGCAGCACAUGUCCUUUGUCUAAGACCAAUGGCAUCUAAAUUCGAUCUCAUGGCACACAGGCUUCGUCCUCAUGGUCUCUCCUUUCUCCCGAUCGUACGCAAGGGAUGGUAGCAAAUGAAGGGACCAAUUAAUUAGCUAGCGCUGCAUGAAAAUACACGUCAGGGCAAAGCAAGGGACCGAGUAAUCGCUCACCCGUAAAUCAUGUCAAGAAAUUUGUAUGUAUGUAUGUAAAUAAAAAUAAAAAUAAAAAUAAAAAUCAACGCGAAAAGCAAAAGGAAAUUAAAGAGUAGUGGUACCUUAUCAUCAGUAUCAGUAUAAGCUAUAAAGUGAAGGCAUACUUUCCCUCCUUGUAAUGUUCGAAACCAGCCUAGCUAGCUAGCAUCUCUCUCUCUCUCAAGGUUCGAGAAAGGAAGGGCAACAGAAUCGCUCAAACCUAUAAAGAACACCAAACCCACCCUAUUCAUCCUCGAAGUGAGUGAAAAAUAAUAAAAUACUAAAUAGAUAGAAGAAUUCCUGCCUUGCCCCACUCUCCUGCUUCUCACGCAGCUCCUCCUUCUCUUCCAGGCCUGGCCAUAUGAAUCAAAUUAGCAAUCAUGCA